rnacentral:rRNA from 1 species
AUUGAACGCUAGCGGGAUGCUUUACACAUGCAAGUCGAACGAGUGGCGGACGGGUGAGUAAUAUAUCGGAACGUGCCCAGUAGCGGGGGAUAACUACUCGAAAGAGUGGCUAAUACCGCAUACUCUUGGAGCGGCCGAUAUCGGAUUAGCUAGUGGGGGGGGUAAAGGCUCACCAAGGCCACGAUCCGUAGCUGGUUUGAGAGGACGACCAGCGACACUGGAACUGAGACACGGCCCAGACUCCUACGGGAGGCAGCAGUGGGGAAUUUUGGACAAGGGGGGAAAGCAUGAUCCAGCCAUCCCGCGUGUAUGAGAAGGCCUUCGGGUUGUAAAGUACUUUCGGCAGAGAAGCGGUAUCUGCAGAAGAAGCACCGGCUAACUACGUGCCAGCAGCCGCGGUAAUUC